UACGAAGGGGGCUAGCGUUGCUCGGAAUCACUGGGCGUAAAGCGCACGUAGGCGGCUUUCUAAGUCAGGGGUGAAAUCCUGGAGCUCAACUCCAGAACUGCCUUUGAUACUGGAGAGCUUGAGUCCGGAAGAGGUGAGUGGAACUCCGAGUGUAGAGGUGAAAUUCGUAGAUAUUCGGAAGAACACCAGUGGCGAAGGCGGCUCACUGGUCCGGUACUGACGCUGAGGUGCGAAAGCCAGGGGAGCAAAGCGGG
rnacentral:rRNA from 1 species